GUGGGGAAUCUUGCGCAAUGGGCGAAAGCCUGACGCAGCCAUGCCGCGUGAAUGAUGAAGGUCUUAGGAUUGUAAAAUUCUUUCACCGGGGACGAUAAUGACGGUACCCGGAGAAGAAGCUCCGGCUAACUUCGUGCCAGCAGCCGCGGUAAUACGAAGGGGGCUAGCGUUGCUCGGAAUUACUGGGCGUAAAGGGCGCGUAGGCGGACAGCUUAGUCAGAGGUGAAAGCCCAGGGCUCAACCUUGGAAUUGCCUUUGAUACUGGCUGUCUUGAGUUUGGGAGAGGUGAGUGGAACUCCGAGUGUAGAGGUGAAAUUCGUAGAUAUUCGGAAGAACACCAGUGGCGAAGGCGACUCACUGGCCCAAUACUGACACUGAGGUGCGAAAGCGUGGGGAGCAAACAGGAUUAGAUACCCCAGUAGUCC
rnacentral:rRNA from 1 species